UACGUAGGGUGCGAGCGUUGUCCGGAAUUAUUGGGCGUAAAGAGCUUGUAGGCGGUUUGUCGCGUCUGCCGUGAAAGCCCAGGGCUUAACCCUGGGUCUGCGGUGGGUACGGGCAGACUAGAGUGUGGUAGGGGAGACUGGAAUUCCUGGUGUAGCGGUGAAAUGCGCAGAUAUAAGGAGGAACACCGAUGGCGAAGGCAGGUCUCUGGGCCACUACUGACGCUGAGAAGCGAAAGCAUGGGGAGCAAACAGG
rnacentral:rRNA from 1 species